AGAAAAUAUGUGCAACAACUUUAUCAUAUAUAGUUUUUUCUUUUAAUAAACCACGCGAAGUUUAAAAUUAUUCCGUCAUUAAUUCUUUGUCAAUUGUUUCAAUACCAGCAUUUUGAGCGAUAAUAUAAAAUAGGAUAAUAAAAAAUUAGAAUUUAAGAUGAGAUUCAAUUGUUUUUCUUUAAAAAAAGAACAACGAAGGAAAUCUCUAAAAAAAUGUUUUUUAUUAACUCUAGAAGACAAAUCUGGGGUGCCUUAUCAUCACAAUUAAAAUUUAUACCAGAACGUGCAGUGCUUCAUAGGUAAGAAGUUGUGAGAAUAUACAAAUUUCUACACACAUUAUUUAUUCAACCAAAUACAUUUACUGAAGUUCUUUAUUUUUGAAGUACUUUAUUCCUCAUAUUAUAUCUCAUUUGAAUCAUAACAAAACCUCAAUUUCUUUUUUUGUUGUUAUGACACCUAUCCUAUAUGCAGUAAUUCAGUUCUUAUUGCACAUGACCACUACGCGCCUACAUCACACACACACACACACGCGCGCGCGUCAUGGCACCCAUACUCACUGCGCCGAACCGCUAAGAUUCUCACAGAUUAUGGGCCCAGAGGAAUUGCUCAAGAUGCAGAUACCAAUAAAGAAGCUAACCUCAAAAAAUUUCGAGAGCUGGUACAUACGCAUUAACCACUUCGUCAGCAUUGACGCCAUAUGGCGCGGAAAAUAUGUGUGCCCCAGGGGGCAUUGACACCUUAUGGCAUACAUCGUUUAUUUUUUAAUUGGCUAGAUCGAUUUGCAUGAAAAUUGAUAUCCAAAAGUUUUUUGUGUCACUGAAUAUGAAUCCAAGGUCCAAACUCCAAAAUUCAAAAUGGCGGACCCAAAAUGGCAAACCCAAAAUAAUCAAAAUUUUUUUAUUGUUAUGAAAGCUGGUAUCUAGGGGUUUUUGGAUCGCUGAGUACGAAUCCAAAGUUAAAACUCCAAAAUUCAAUAUGGCGGACCCAAAAUAAACCCAAAUUUAGCAAUUCAAAAACCUCUGUAUUGUGAAUUUUAUCCAAAUAAAUUAAAAUAUUUUUGGUCCGCCAUAUUAAAUCCACCAUUUUGAAUUUUAAAAUUCUAUGUCUGAUUCGUAAUCAGCGACCCCGAAAGCUUUCAGAUAUAAAGUAUCUUUGAAUUGCGAUUACUUUUUUUUCUUGCUCACAGGGGCACGGACCGUGAAAUUUCGCCUGCCAACGAAGUGGUUAAGGCAUUACUUGCCAGUAAACAAAUAAGCGAGGUCCUGGAAGAUAACUAUUUUGUCCAAGGAACGACAGAAUACGCUACAUUCCAGAAAAACGACAGGACAGUAAAAUUUGACAGCUGCGUGGAACGCAUGGAAACCAGCGGGCUCACGGUGAGUGAGGAGGAAAAGAUAAUUCAGCUGCUGAUGGCAAUGCCAGCGGAAUUCAAUAGCGUGAUCACGGCAAUCGAGACGAUGGCAGCCAGAGGCAAUACCAUCUCAGUCAAAUUCGUAAAGAACCGCCUUCUCGACAAGAAUGUAAAACUGAAAAGGGGAAUACAUCAAACCAAAGGCGCGACGUAGCGUUCCUAACCUGCUGUCACUGUGGCAAGAAAAGGCAUUUCAAGAGAGACUGUCGGCAUAGAAAUGACAACAGAAGACGAUCGGGGAUUCAACGACCAGGAGUACAAAGAGAGGCGUACAGAAGGCGUCAAUAAUGCCUUCCUACACGAAAUAAACCGCAUUCGGGGUCAGUAACAACUAGGCGCAUCUCAUCUAGCUAUUCGUGCAUCAUAACUGUUAGUCUAAAAAGAUAUUAUUUCCAAAUGGUAUGCAUGCACAUUCUCAACAGCUUUGAGUGCACUUUGCAAAAUAUUGCAUCAUGUAGUUAAGAUAUAAAUAAUAAUUUAUGCUAAUUUAAUAUAUAUAAUCUAAGCAGUAUAUAUUGUUAAAAAAAUAAGAAGAUUAAAAUAAUAUAAAUUAUAGAAAAACCCAAUAAAAAUUUUUUUAUACAAAAUAUAUAUAAAUAUAUAUAAUUAUACACAAAAUGUCCAUAUAUUUUUAUAUUAACUUAUUUUCUGUUAGUCUAAAAAGAUUAUUUCCAAAUGGUGUGCACGCACAUUCUUAACAACUUUAAAUGCACUUUGCAAAAUAUUGCAUCAUGUAAUUAAAAGAUAAAUAAUAAUUUAUACUAAUUUAGUACAUAUAAUCUAAGCAGUAUAUAUUGUUAAAAAAAUAAGUAGAUUAAAAAUUUUUAUUUAGUAUAAAAUAAUAAUAAUCAUACUGAAAUGACGAAUUAAAAAGAUAAUUUUUCUACUGUUCUGUUCUGUAUAUAUUACAUUGCGUGUGAUAUUUACGUGACCAUGAUAAUUUUUUUUUUAAUUUAAUUUAAACCCAUUAUGAUUAUAAUUUAUAAUAUACAGAUUAAUGCAAGAUUAAGAAGAACUGCAGAACAAAAUAAAAAUAUUGUUGAAUCAGUUAACGAAAUCCUUUCAAUGCUACUGCAACAGUUUUCGUCUCACCGUGCUUUCCAAAAUUAGAAAAUUAUUAUUGCGUAAAAAAAAA